UACGUAGGGACCGAGCGUUGUCCGGAAUCAUUGGGCGUAAAGAGCGUGUAGGCGGCCACUUAAGUCCUGCGUGAAAUCUUGCGGCUCAACCGCAAGCGGUCGUGGGAAACUGGGUGGCUAGAGUGCGGGAGAGGAGAGUGGAAUUCCUGGUGUAGCGGUGGAAUGCGCAGAUAUCAUGAGGAAUACCAGAGGCGAAGGCGGCUACCUGGACAAUUGCUGACGCUCAGGCACGAAAGCGUGGGGAGCAAAAGGG
rnacentral:rRNA from 1 species